GAAGCUUUUGAUCUCUUUUGUUUGAAAGCCUUCAAUGAAGACGAGAUUGGAGAAGAUUUUCUUAAGCUAUCCAAUGAAUUUUUGAAAUAUGCUAAUGGCCUUCCAUUAGCUAUUAAAGUUUUGGGAUCAUCUGUUCGUGGUAGAAAUGUAAAGUUAAUAGUCAAGUGCAUUGAAGAGGCUUGAAAAAAAUCCUCAAAGGAUUAUUGAUGUUCUUAAAGUUAGUUAUGAUGGAUUAGAAGAAACAGAAAAGAAAACUUUUUUAGACAUUCACGUGUUUCUUUAAAGGAGUGAACAAGGAUCGUGUUAUAAGAAUACUAAAUGGUUGUGGCGAUGGUGUGGAGAUGGAUGUACAAGUUCUAAUUGAAAGAUCUUUGGUAACUCUAUUUGGAACAAAAUUGUGGAUGCACGAUUUGAUACAAGAAAUGGGUCGGGAAGUUGUUUUUCAAGAAUGCCGUGAAGAGCCUGGAAAACAAAGCAGGUUGUGGCUUCCCAAAGAUAUCAUACACGUACUUGGUCAGAGUAAGGUAAUGAAACAACUGAGUGCUUAAACUCACCUGUUAUUAUUUUUAUUAUGAACUAUCUUGUGCUAUAACUAGUUUUUUGCUAUUCAUUAGGCGACGAGUGCAGUUCAAAGCAUAUACCUCGAAUGUUCAACAGGAGACAAUGUUGUUCACUCCAUUGAUAAUGCCUUCUCAAAUAUGGACAGAUUGAGAUUGCUCAAGAUUUGGAAUUUGAAGUGUUCCGGAAACAUCAGAUAUAUUUCUAAUAAGUUACAGUAUCUUGAAUGGCAUGAGUGUCCUUUGGAUUCUUUCCCAUCAGACUUUCAACCGGAGAAACUUGUUGAAGUUCACAUGCCUUUUAGCCGCAUCAUACAACUAUGGAGGGGAACACAAGUGAGUUAAUAAUUAAUUUAUGCAUGUUCAUAAAGCUGACCGGCACUUCUUUAAAAAAGAAAGGAAGAAAAAAGCUGAUAAUUUGGUUUCUAUAUAUAUUGUCUCAUUUAUUAGGAAAAGGAUAUGACACGUGGUGUUCCAGGUACAAAUAAUAAUUUCCUGACGAAAAGAUUAAUGGUGUUUGUGAAUUACGUAACUAUACAUAAAAGUUAAUAUGGCUUUUAGACAUUAAUCUCACGUCAACCGUUUCUGUAAUUGUACUAUUUUCUGUAAUAAUGUGCAAUGAUUAUUUUAAAUCACAUGAUGAUCAUCUUUGAAAUUAUAUCAGGGAUGGAGCAUGCUACGGCAUUUAGAUCUGAGUGGUUCACCAUACUUGAUAUCAACUCCUGACUUCACUGAGGUUCCUUAUCUUGAAGAGUUGCUGUUUGAGAGUUGCACUGGAUUGGUGGUGGUCCACCCUUCCCUUGGAUUUCUGAAGAAACUUCGUCAUUUGGAUUUGCAAUUUUGCAAGUCUAUUGAGAGCCUUCCACCUCUCACUGCCUUGGAAUCCCUUCAAAUAUUGAAGCUUUCAUUCUGUUCCGGACUGAAGAAGUUUCCAGAAAUUGAAGGAAAUAUGAAAAGCUUGCUGGAGCUUCAUUUGGAUGGAACCAGCAUUGAGGAAUUGCCUCCAUCAAUUGAACAUUUGACUGCUCUUACCAUGUUGAAUCUAUCAAACUGUGGGAACCUUUUGCAUCUUCCUGACACCAUUGGGUGCUUGAAAUCGUUAAAAAGUCUAUCUCUAAAAGGUUGCUCCAAAAUUGAUGAGAUACCUGAGAAUCUGAAUGAUAUGAAAUGUCUGGAGAAGCUUUUCAUUGGUGAAACUUCCAUAAGAGAGUUAUCUAUCAUCGGAGGCAUGAAGAAUCUACAGUAUCUUUCCUGCAGAGGAUGUAAAUGUCUAGUUUUAGAAUCAUACAAAAGUCUGGCUUUGUUAUCAAGUUUGAUAGAGCUAGAUCUGAGUUAUUGCGAUCUGAUGGAUGGAGCAUUUCUCAAUGGUUUUAGCAGCCUGAUCUCCUUACGAGUGUUAGAACUAGGUGGUAAUUGUUUCGUGCGAUUACCUGAAAGUAUCUCUCAGCUCUCAAAGCUCGAGACUCUGGACUUGAGUGGUUGCAGACAGCUUCAAUUGCUGCCCAAUAAGUUUCCGUUAAGUCUUGAUCACGUGUAUGCACACAAUUGUACUUCACUGAGAGAUUACCCAAAUCAAAUCAAAGUAUUGUAUUCAUCAGAGUCAGGUGUGACUAUGGUCAAUUCCCUCGAUUCUUCAGCACCUAGAGUCUCACAAAGUUCCACAAGCUUUACUUUUCCAAGAAAUGCGGGGGAAUCAUUACAACUGCUUGUGACACAUAAGCAUACAGAGGGGAAACAAGUUGAUCAUGUGCCACUGACAAAUUUGAAUCAAGUGGUAUGACGAGUAUCUCUGUAAAAAGAGAACACAUUUAUAUGAAUCUAUCAAUUUUUUUCCCAUACCAUUAGUUAACAAAGCUUUUGUAUUUACGUUGCAGACAAAUUUUGCACCAGAUUUCUACAGCGCAAAUAUUAGCGAUCAAAUUCCAGAGUGGUUCAGCACUAUAUCUACUAGAAAUCCCAUAUCGAUCCCGAUAGCUCAAAAUCUGGCGGAUGAUAACAAGUGGAAGGGAUUUGCGGCGUGUGCUAUAUUUGCAGUCAAGGGGCAUACUGAACUCUCCCAUAUUGAACCAGAUCCUGAUUUUUCUAAUUACUCGUAUCAAAUCAUAUUGGAAACUGAUGUUCUGCGUCUGGAACAACAUGUGUUGAAACUGGAUUCAGGUCACUUUGGAUCAAGUUCUCAUCUGCUUGUGAUGUUCUGUAUAUCUAGUUUGAGGUUUCCACAGUGGGGGUUAAAUCAAUCCACUGUGGUGAGGGCUAUAUUCGAAACCACCAAUCCAUCCAUGGUGGUCCAGAAAUGUGGAAUUCGCCUAGUCUAUGAGAAAGAUGAUGGAUGGUAUUCCAGAAUAUCCGGGUGGAAGGAUGAGCCAAUUUGGCUUAAUCAAGUUGAAUUCGACUCUGUACGGGAAUCUGACUGGCUUAGGCAAUCUUUGAAACGGUAGGGUAUAUUUAAUUCAAUGCUCCACAACUAGUUAAUUGACGCUUUUGUAUUUCUUUAAUGUAUUUUCAAUUAUGUUGCAGGGAGAAGUUCAUUCCACCCUUUGAAGAAGAAUCUACACUUGUGCUGCGAAAGAACCUCGAGUCUGUUCUUCCAAGAUACCUUGAGGUCUAUCUGUCUGUAUUUCUCUCUAGCUAGUUUAUAUGAUAUCUCUCUAAUCUCUAAUGUCAAUCUAUCUCUGAAAUAAACGAGGUUACUAAUUAUUCAAAUUGCGCAUUUUCAAUAUUACAGGCAUUGAACAGUUAUUCUAAAAUAUACAAAUUUAACCUCAGAGGAAGUCCAGGGUGGUUUCACAAGUGGUUUACCCAUGGUACUGGUAGGAGGUCAAACUUGACCAGAGCGUUAAUUGAGCUGCCUCUGAAACUACAUAAGAAUAAGAAGUGGAUGGGAUUUGCAAUAUUUGCAUCACUUGUGGAGGAGGUGGGGCAGACAAAGAAAGAGGAUGACUAUGGUGUAUCAUUUACGCUGACAACUUGUGAUGUAUCUGCUCCAGUGUGCAGAGAACUUAAGCACGUCCGGCCAUUGUCAGAAGAACAUCAUCAACUCUUGGUUGCUUACAUACCGCGGGGACAGAUACCCGAAGAGUUGCUCAUUCAGACAUUAACAACUGCAAUGGAAUUUGACAUCAGGAUCGAUAGCCCUCAUGUAAAGGUUCAAAGAUGUGGGUUCCGUAUUGUGUACCAGGAAGAUACACAAGGCUUUGCUGACACAAUUAUCCGGUGCAUGCAGAGGGAAAAUUCUCUUGAAUCUCACAAUAUGUUGGUGGUAGAAGAAUGGAUGCAGUUGUUACGAUUACAAGGUGCCUAUUUCGAGAGAAGGAAAGAACGGAAAAAACAACUUGAGUUGCACUCACAUAUACCUAUAUAUAGAAAUUGGGUCUCUCUCUCUCGCACGCAUACAUGAUUUUUACUAUUUCUAUGAUUGAUUUUUUUUUUUUGUUCGUUUUUGACAUUGGAACUUAUAUUUGCAGGAAUGGUCUGACCCUCGUUGUGUAUAUUGUGUCUUUGAGAGAGUUGAAAUCUCCAAGUUGAAAUGGUUCAUGUCUUUCAUCAACCAAGGCAACUCUGCAGAAAUCCAACUGCCUCAGAAUUUGUUUGAUGAUGAUAAUUGGUUGGGUUUUGCUGUAUGUUUCCAGUUGUCCCCCGGCCAAUAUCCAAACAUUAGUCUUGGCAGUAGCGCUCCUGAUUCAGAGGAUGUUGUACUUAGUUACUGUCUGGAUUCUGAUGUUGCUUGGAAGAGUUUAUUUGAUUUCAAAAUGAAUCUAAGUUUAAAGAUUCGAGAGCCAUCGACAUGCGAUAUGACUUGGAUCCAUCACAUACCACGCGCUAAAUGUCGUAGUAAUAUGUGGAGGCAAUGCAAAUUGGCCAGGAUAACUAUCUGGUUGUCUAACCCAUGCUUAGCGGUGCAUAAUUGUGCCCUUCGUCUGCUAUUGAAGGAGGACGUUGAACAUCUUCUAGAAACUCUGACCCUCGCCGAAUCACCUUGAACAUCCCCGAGCUUCUGCUGCUCGGUCAUGGAGAAAGGUAACUUGUGAGUAGCCUUUUGACUUUGAUUAAUUUUGUAGGUCGCAAUAACUUCUCAUUUGGUUGAAGUUCUCAUGCAUUGACAGGACGCACAGAAGGCAAAGGUCUACAAGCAAGAGCUUCCUAAUGGAGAACGAGAUAAAAACGUUUUGUGAUAUUUUAUUAAGCUGAAUCAUUUUUGGUGCUCAAUUUGCGACAAUUUCCUUUCUGAUUGUCCUGGUGUGCUCCUGUAUUGUGAGAAGUAAAUGUUCAACUUAUUUGAAUCAAACUGAAAAUUAUAUAGAAUUGCGUGUUGGGAUUUUGGGUAGAGAAAGUUGUUCAUAAACACUAGUUGUAAGGUUCUCCACAUUGAUCAUAAUGAUUUAUCUUGCAAGUUCCAACUAUAAAUCUUCGUGUUUGCAAUUUGUUCAUUAGUUGCUUUAUAUGAAUACCUUGUUUGUUACGCUUCCGCAACUCGUGGUAGAAGGGCAUCAAAUUCCUCCUGCCUAGCUUGUUCGAUUUCUAGCUCAGCUACACAAGUAAAGCCAGAGUAGAGCUUUUGAUGGACACUAUAGCAAAGUAGCGCCAUCAAAAGGUUUUCUUCUUGACUAUCCCAGCUUUGGACCUGGUGAUCAUUUGAUGUGUACCUGCAUUAGCAGAAUGACGUGAUAACACAAGUUGAACAUUCUGCACAUUUGCGACGUAUUCUUUAGUCUCAUGAAGUCUAAUUGAGGUAGAGUACUGUUGGAUAGGAAAAAUGGCCUCCAGUUGUCCAGGGUAAGGACAAGCAACACAGUUACGUAGCCAUACAAAUAUUGCCCCAGUAUUUCUCAAAAUUUACAAACAAGACUCAAAAGGAGUAGCAGACUUAUAGAAUUGAAGAGGAAGGAGUAUGUGUGAGGGACAGAGAGGAGGAAGAGAUUGUGAGUGUAGACUGUAGAGAAUCGAUCAGAGUGAUCGGCUGUGGUGAGAUCCAGAGACUACAAUGUACAAUUCAAGCUUAAACCCAGAAUCAAAACCAUGAAAGCUGAAAUGCGAAACCAGCAUGCAGAUGAAGUCAUGGAAAUUUCUGGACUUGAAAAUGUACCAAAAGGUGGGACUCACCUCACCGGAGCGGUUAGUUGGUCGUUGGUGAGCCGGUGGGGGUUGGGAUGUCCACGUCGUUGUCUAAAGUCACAAGUUUAUCCGAUGUCCUGAGUUUAUGUCUUCUAAGACAAACGACAUGUCGCUCCAGAAGACAAACGACAAUCCUACAGGCAAGGAGGAGACUCGAUGAGCCUUUACUCCUUUAGGCGGAGCCAGGUGGCGUGGGCCAAAACGGGCUAAGGGGUCCACCUUUUAAAAAGACAGAAAAAAAAAAAAAAACACCCGACGGGGGCUCAAUUCUUGGAACGCGGAGAGGACGACCGAGAAUAAUGACUUCAAAGUCUUCAAAAGUUUGGGCUCCUGCGAAUCUCAGUAAACCCAGAUUGGGGUUACAUGCUUAGAACAAGUGAUGGCCUCCUACCCAGUCCGCCUUGUCCUCUUGUCUUGUAUUUGCCCUCUGGUUUUCUUCUCUGCUUUGUUUCUCUUCAGCUUUAUCUCUUCCGGGUUGUACCUCUUCUUCUUCUUCUCCAUUGUUUCUAUUUGCUGCUGCCUUUUGGCUUUCACUCUUUCCCAUAAACAGACACCCGCAACACCAGACACUUCUGCUUCAGCUACCACCAACACAGAAGUGAUUCCUUCUUCUUCGUCGUCGUCUUCUUCUCCACGGUCCGGUAAACUCACCUACGAUGUGUUCCUGAGUUUCAGAGGUGAAGAUACCCGCAAGAAUUUCACGGACCAUCUCUACACUGCUCUCUGGCAGAAAGGGAUACACACGUUUCGAGAUGAUGAAGAGCUUGUGAGGGGGGAAUCGAUUGCUCCCAAUCUCUUGAAAGCAAUCGAAGAAUCAAGAUAUGUCAUUGUUGUCUUCUCACCAAACUACGCCGAUUCUGCAUGGUGUUUGGAUGAGGUUGCCGAGGUCGCCGAUUGCAUGAAGGAAAUGGGAACAAAAGUCCUUCCAGUGUUCUACCAUGUUGAUCCGUCGGAGGUACGAAGACAAACAGGAGAGCACUUUGGGAAAGCAUUUGAGAAGCAUCAGAAGAGGUAUAAAAAGGAACCAAACAAAGUACAGAGGUGGAAAGACGCUCUUUUCCAAGUAGGCAAUCUCUCUGGAUGGCACCUGCAAGAUGGGUAAGCUUUCUGUCUAUCUAUAUUCUGUACUACAGUUGAUAAUUUUUAUAUGACCCUUUUUAUUACGCCAGUUGUNNNNNNNNNNNNNNNNNNNNCAGUGAUAGCCCUCAUGUAAAGGUUCAAAGAUAUGGUUUCCGUAUUGUGUACCAGGAAGAUAUACAAGGGUUUGCUGAUACGAUUAUCAGGUGUAUGCAGAGGGAUGAUUCUCUUAAAUCUUACGAUAAGUUGGUAGUAGAGAAAUGGAUGCAGUUGCUACGAUUGCAAGGUGCCCGUUUAGAGAGAAUGACCAAACGAGAUUCCAGAACCGCACAAGCAACCUUCAGAAAUUGGGUCUCUCUUUCUCUCUAAUUUAUUAUUAAUAUUCUUUUCUUCUUCUAUUUUCCCUAUCUAUAUAUUGACAUUUGAACUUAUAUUUACAGGACUGGUCUGACCCUCGUUCUGCUUAUUGUUUGUUCGAUAGAGUCUCGAAGUUGAAAUGGUUCGUGCCUUUCAUCAACCAAGGAAACUCUGCCGAAAUCCAACUGCCUCCGAAUGUGUUUGAUAAUCAUAAUUGGUUGGGGUUUGCUGUAUGUGUUCAGUGCUCCCGCUCUUCUUCUUCUUCAGAGGAUGUUGUGCUUGCUUAUCGACUGGACUCUGAUGUUGCUUGGCACGGCUUAUUUGAUUACAAGAUGCGAGCAGUUAUGAAGCUACCCGAGACACCUAAAGACGAAUUAUAUGAUGCGACUAUGUUCGUUUAUAUACCGCGCACUAAAGCUCUUAUGAGUAAGAUGUGGAGGCAAUGCAAAUUGGCCAGGAUAACUGUGUGGUUCUCCAACCCAUGUGCAGCAAUAGUGCAUACUUGUGCCCUUCGUCUACUAUUUAAGGACGACAUUGAACAUCUUGUUGAGACACUCACUGUUGCAUCUGACGAAAACCGUUAUUUCCUCGGUCUCACUGCUGUUUGAUAGGGGAAUUAGACAACAGUUCUCAGCCGUAGUGUGAAAGAGCAUCCGAUCGAUGACAAAUUGUGUCAUCUGAAGUACCAGUUUGGAAGGAUUCUUGAUCUUUAUGUUGUCUCAAUGCAGAAACAACGACACAUGAGCUGUCUUCAGCGCUCGCCAAGCACAUUUCUCCUCAUUUUGUGCUGUAUUUAUCCACUCUCAUAAUACAGUCAUAUGCAAAUUGAUCGAAGCAAAAUAAAGAUUUGUUUAAUCUAUAUGUCGUCUAAUGAGACACUUAUGUUGUCUGAUAGUGUUCAUUUAACUUCAAUCAGUCUGUUGUUGGAUAGGAUAACUUAUGUUGUUUGAUUGAUACUGUCUUUAGCCCUGGACCUUGAUAUUUUUUUGAAAUGCCAGCCCUGCCUGGCCUGAAAAUUUGAAGAAAAAUGGUUUGUGGCUCUGCCCCCCGGUUCGGGAGCGCAUUGGUUUUCUAGCUGAAUCACAGAAAUUGAGUGAACCACUGUAAAUCUUUAUUUGUUUGCUCCGCUUCUGCACAAUACGUGGUUGAAGAGCUUCAAGUUCCUCCAACAUAGCUUUUAGCAAAGUAAAGCGUCUGAAACUAUGAGAAGGUUUCAUAUCUUGACUUGAGAGCCUGCGAACGGACACCAACGAGUAUCAAAAUAUGAUCAUGACAAACUCUUAGUCAUGUAGCCAUACAAAUAUAGCCCUAGUAUUUCUCCUUUUUAUUACAAGAGAAAACUACACCAACAGUGCCUCAACUCUUAUGUCCCGGUUAGUUUGAUACCUAAACUUACAAAGCUGUCAAUGUAGUACCUAAACUUACGUUAUCCUCUUUGGCAUUCACCUAGAAAGAAAAUGCAUAAGUAUGUCAUGUACAAGUGAGAUUACAGAUGAAAAUAUUAAAUGAAGUGUAGAUAUGAAUAUGGAAGGUGUAGAAAAAACAUUGAGAAUUAAUCUAGUAUAAACAACCUUGGAUGAAAAGGGUCUAAUGAGUUCAAGUCUGAGAUUAUAAUGCUAACUACAGUCUCCCAGUUGGUUGGCCUUACAGACUAUUGAUUGAAGGGAAAUGAUAGGCUUAUUGUCUAUGAACAUUCGUCUCAAGGAAUUCCUAGUAGGCUUUGCUGCUUGUAUGAACUAAAACUCAAAACAUCUCCUUCAUCUUACAACAAGGUUUGAAUACCUACUAUGUUUAAUUGUUUACCCAACCAAAGUCAGCAACUUUAAUGAAAAUUCUGAGACCAGUACAAGUAACAUUUCCGGCUACAAUUGCAUAGGUAUUAAACCAAGCAAACAGAAGCUAAUGCUCAACUUUCUAUUUUCAAGUGGCUUAUAUCUUACUAUUUUCAAGUUAACAGAUACUUAACGAUUGUCAGGAAUAAUCACAGGCAAGAAUUCUAACCUACUGCAAUGCCAGACCUUAUAAAACAAGCCUUAUAUCUCCGACUCAAACUCAUUUACACCCUUAUCAGCCACCAUUUCCAUAAUCCAAUUCUGAUACAAAGUCCUUGUGACCAAAAUAGUUGGAUAUCUACCCAAUUGGAAUAUGACCGAACACAAACUACUGGGUCAGGCUUAUUCAACUAAAGCAAGUAUCUUGAACACAUCUGUCGUACCAAAACUAGGCUUAAUGUCAAACCCAUGACCACUUCCCCAAAAUCCCACAGAUGAAUUAAGCAACAGAUUCAUAAAAAUAAUCGAAAGCAUAGAGAGUGAGAUUGAUGGAAAGCGUACAUACUGGGGGAACAUAGCCUCGAGCAGCAGCGAGAUGAGAUUUGAAAGACAAGGCACGCCUGCUCCUGCUGCUGCUACGUAGGACCAUAGGGGAAUAGUUGGCCCCUGAAAACUCAAGAAGAGGUUGAGGUUUUGAGGAGAAAGAAGCAGAAAGUCGAGGAGGAGGUAUGACCAAGUAGUUGUUUGGAAUAAACAACGAAUUCGCCAUUACAGUUUGCUCUGCUUUUUACGAGUUUAACAAACUCUCCGCUUCUUCUAUCUCCGCCGAUACCUCACCCUCAGCGGACAAACUGAAAAAACUAUAAAUAAAUAAUUGGUGGGCCUAACCGGACUGGGCCCAAAGCGAGUAAAAGAAAAAAUAUAAAGAAAAAAAAUUCUAUGGGUUAGGCAGACACGUGCUACGUCUAGACGGUAACAAGUGUUACAAUCCUAAUGGGUCGGGGGUCCACCAUUAAAUAAGAAAAAGAAAAUAAAACUAAACUACAGCCCUGUGGGUGAGGCGGACACGUGCUACGUCUAGACGGUGACAGGUGUUAUGGGCCCAAACGGGCGAGGGGUCCACACCUUUUGAAAAUGAAGAGAAAUGAAAAAAAGUAAAGAUUGAAUCAGUUCUAAGUGUCAUGGGCUGAAAUCUUCCAAAUCACCGCCGCCGCCGUGACGGUCUACACCGGCGGAUCUCCGAUUUCACCUCGGUAAGGGUAACCUCACGCUCCGGCGGGUCUAUUAAGUGCUUGUGUUGCUGGCAUGUUGUGUGUCUGUGUUGCUUGCUGUUUUGUAGAUAUUGUACAUUUGAGUGAACAUUAUUCGAUUAAGUCGAGUGAGGUGUUAGUUGAUAGGUAAGCUUGUUCUUCUUCCACUUCUUUUCUAUGCAGUGCUGAAAUUGGUCUGCUCUUGAAAUACCACUUUAUUUCAGUUUGAAAUUUCAUCACAGUGAAAUCCUAAGUUAAGAUAGUAUAUCAGGAUUUUCAGUCCUAAAUUAGAACCAAUCAGUUAUUGAUCCUAAAUGUUUCACACUGAAAUUCUGCUCUAUCUCUUAUAUAUGUAUUCUACACUGGAUACUUUUUAGAAUGAACCUCUCUAUUCGAUCACCCCUCUUAAGCAUCUACUUGCACCUUACAGUUAGUUUUCUACAACUAGCAUCAUUCAUAAAAAUGUGACUUGCGUUUCUCACAUUGCAUUUCUGAUUCUUCUAAUUACAAAUUUAGAAUGAAGAAAAAGAUUGCUGUAUAUUAUGUUCCGUUAUCUUUAUUUACUUGUUGCCUCUUUUUCUAUAAUCUUCAUUAUCUGUAUCUACUUGUUCCUUUAACUUAAACAUAGAAGAUAUAUGAUGAUUAUUCAUGACUUUCCAGGAUCCAUAGUUAUUCAAGAAAUUUUAGAAAAGAGAUUUUCACCGAGCUACAUCAAAUAAUCUCAAUAUUUGAGGGUUCAGUUGGCAUAGAGGUUGUGGCUGGCCAAUGAAAUCUUCCAUGUUCUUGAUCAUAAUAAGGUAACAAGAUGCUAUAAAUAUAAAGUCCUGAUGGAACUAAUGUUCUGUUUUUCCACUAUGCAAUAUCUUGUGCAGUAGCUAAUUAAGUUUUGCUCUUUUUUGUUUACUAGGCAACGACUGCAGUUGAAAGCUUAUCCUUCCAACGAAUGACAAUGUGGUGCACAUACUUAAUGACUCCUUCUCAAAUAUGGACAGAUUACAAUUACUUAAAAUUGGAAAUGUGAAGUUUUGUGGAAACAUCAAUUCUCUUUCUCGUGAGUUGCAGUUUCUGCAAUGGCAUGAUUGUCCAUUUGAUUCUUUCCCAUCAGACUUUGCACCUGCUAAACUUGUUGAGCUUCAUCUGCAUUCAAGCCGCAUAAUACAUCUAUGGAGGGGGGAAAAGGUAAGACCUUAAUCAACAUCCAUGUUCAUACAUUCAAUAUUAGUACAUCCUAUUUUUUGGUAUUUAAGCUUUCAAGUUAACAUCAAGUACAAUGGGUGAUAUGUUAACAAACAAAUCAUACCACAUUCUCACCUUAGGAAAUAGAAGAAAUAAACAGUAGGAAAAAUGAAUUUUGCAGCUUAAAUUUUAGAUAUUAUAUAAGAUCCCUAGCUAGCUAGCUAGUCGUGGUUUAAGGCAUACCACUUGAUCAUUUUACUUGCAUGUCAAAUUUUCUCUAGUAUAACGUACAUUUUAUUGAUCAAUUGUUUUCAAUCUUAGACAUUAAUGGAUGUACUUAAAGUGCUUUAUUCGACAUCUUUGUUAAACCACCAAGCAAUUGACUGGAUUUUUUUUUUUUUCAAUCCAUCACUCAUAUUUGUCUUGUGUUUUAGAUAGAUAAAAAUUAUAUGCAGAAGGAUUGUAUAAUAAAUAUUAAAUCACAUGAUUAUGAUCAUCUUCUGAAAUGUACUAGGGGUGGAGUAUGCUACGGCAAAUUAAUUUGAGUGGUACACAACACUUGAUAUCUACUCCAGACUUCAGUGAGGUUCCUGAUUUUGAGAUGUUGGUGCUUCAGGAUUGUACAAGCUUGGUGGACAUUCACCCUUCUCUUGGAUUUCUGAAGAAACUCCACCAAUUAAAUAUGAGAAAUUGCAUGUCUGUUGAGAGCCUUCCAUCCUUCAAUAGAAAUUGGGUCUCUCUCUCAAACUUUUUUUUCUUUCUUUUACAAAGAGAUAUGCACAUACAUUACUCAUUUAUGCAUUCAUGACAUGUUUGAUUCCUAUUUGCAGGACUGGUCUGUGGAACCUCCUUUCGGUUGUUUUUUCUAUGGAAAUGAAAUCUCCAAGGGCAAAUGGUUCCAAAAUUUCAACGAGGGCAGCACUGCAGAAAUCCAACUACCUCUGAAUUUGUUUGAUAAUGCUACUUGGUUGGGAAUUGCUGUAUGUGCUUUUUGAGAUCCCAUGGACAUUCAGACAGCAAUCUUGACCCUCCUGAUUACAGUACAAUUUUAGGUGUUAUCUGGACUCCGAUCCUGCUUCCAGCUUAUGCUCAUUUGAUGUCAAAUUUCAGCAACUUGUCAGGACAGUAGAACCAUGGGAAUUUGUAUCCGAUUUCACUUGGUUCUCAUAUAUACCGCACAAUGGUGUGUUUUUUAAGUUCUGGAGGCCCUGCAAGCACUAGAAAUUCUGCCUGCUGAAUUUGGUACGGGUAUGUCCCUAGAACUUCAGCACGUCAAGCCAUUGUCAGAAGAACAUCAUCGAGAUUUGGGUUGUGUAUUGUGUUCCAGGACGACAUACAAGGGUCUGCUGAUACUAUUAUCCAGUGCAUGCAGAGGGAUAAUUCUCUUGAAUCUUACGAUAAGUUGGUGGUAGAAGAAUGGGUAAAGUUGAUACGAUUGGAAGGUGCCCAUUUAGAGAGAAUGACAGAAUGGGAUUCCAGAACCCCACGGGAAAGAUACUCUGAAUUGCACUCACGAAAAUAGAGAAAUUGGGUCUCUCUCGUCUCCCAUACAUGCAUAAUUAUAAUCAUUCAUAUUACUAUUCCUCUUUUUUUGCCCUUUUCUUUAACAUUUGAACCUAUAUUUACAGAAAUGGUCUGACCCUGUUUAUUGUGUCUUCAAAAGUGUUGAAAUCUCCAAGUUGAAAUGGUUUGUGCCUUUUAUCAACCAAGGGCAACUCUGCAUGUUAUCAGUUGUCCCGCAAGGCUGUGACCAAUAUCCUGAUUCAGAGGAUGUUAUGCUUAAUCACUGUCUGGACUCUUAUGCUGCUUGGCAUGCCAUAUUUGAUUUUCAGACGCAUGGAAGUUUUAGGAUACCCGAGUCAGGGGAAUACUAUGCGACUAGCUUCCUUUAUAUACCGCGCACUGAAGUUCUUACUUCUUAGUAAGAUGUGGAGGAAAUGCAAAUUGGCCAGGAUGUUGUUCUGUAGCCCAAGCUCAGCAGGUAGUGCAUAGUUGUGGUCUGUCUACUAUUUAAGGAGGACAUUGAACAUCUAGUUGAAACACUCGCCUUCCCGCAUUACCUUGAACAUCCACCAUGAUCGAAAAUGGUAACCUGUGAUAUUCAAAAAAAGAAGAAGAUGGUAACCUGUGAGCAGCCUUUUGGGUUUUGAUUAAGGCCAAGUUUGAGAUUGAUGUGUUGUGAGAAUAAUCACUUCUCAUAUUGGUUGAGAAGCUUCUUCUACCGAGAGAGAAAGUCUUCCGACCACAACCGUAUCCCCUCUUCAAAGUGCCUUUCUCCUUCAUGCAUUGGUUGACGGAGUCAAAAUUCACGGCUGACACAGCCGUUUCUGGUGUUUAAAAACUCUGGGCAGACUACUCAUCUUCUUCAUUCCAGGGUGACGUGGGGAAUCUCAGUAGCCCAAAUUGAGGUUUUGCAUGCUUCAAAAAAUGAUGGCCUCCUACCCAGUCCGGCUUCUCCUCUUCUCUUCCAUUUGCCCUCUGGUUUUCUUCUCUGCUUUGUUUCUCUUCAGCUUUAUCUCUUCCGGGUUGUACCUGUUCUUCUUCUUCUCCACUGUUUCUAUUUGCUGCUGCCUUUUGGCUUUCACUCUUUCCCAUAAACAGACACCCGCAACACCAGACACUUCUGCUUCAGCUACCACCAACACAGAAGUGAUUCCUUCUUCUUCUUCGUCGUCUUCUUCUCCACCAUCCUGUAAACUCACCUACGAUGUGUUCCUGAGUUUCAGAGGUGAAGAUACCCGCAAGAAUUUCACGGACCAUCUCUACACUGCUCUCUUGCAGAAAGGGAUACACACGUUUCGAGACGAUGAGGAACUUGUCAGGGGGGAAUCAAUUUCUCCUAAUCUGUUAAAAGCAAUUGAAGAAUCAAGAUAUGUCGAUUCUCACCAAACUAUGCCGAUUCUGCAUGGUGUUUGGAUGAGAUUUGCCAAGGUCACUGAUUGCAUGAAGGCCAUGGGAACAAAAGUUCUUCCAGUGUACUACCAUGUUGAUCCAUCGGAGGUACGAAGACAAACAGGAGAGCACUUUGGGAAAGCAUUUGAGAAGUAUCAGAAGAGGUAUAAAGCGGAACCAAACAAAGUACAGAGGUGGAAAGACUCUUUUUCAAGUGGGCAAUCUCUCUGGAUGGCACCUGCAAGAUGGGUAAGCUUUCUGUCUAUCUAUAUUCUGUAGUACAGUUGAUAAUUUUUUAAAUGACCCUUUUUAUUACACCAGUUGUUUCAUAUGAAUGUAAUUCAGAACUAGUGAAUCAUGCAGAGCUAAUUUAUACACCUGUCUCAAAAAUUAUAAUGUGUAGAACUAAAUCAAAUUAAAUUUUUAAUACUUCUACUUAGAAUUUCAGAAUGAACAAAUAGAUUGGCAUAAUAUAAUAUUUUGUAACUUUAUAUCUUAUACACAUAAUUUAAGUAAGAAUGAUUUUCUCUUUACUUUACAGGUCUGAAUCCAAAGUAAUUCAAGAAAUUGAAGAAAAGGUUUUCACUGAGAUGAAUAAAAUAAUCUCCACAUCUGAGGGCUUAGUUGGGAUGGAUUCUCACCUGAAUGAACUGUUUCCCUACUUAAACAUUGGGGGUCUCGAUGUUCGCAUCAUAGGGAUUUGUGGCAUGGGUGGUAUCGGGAAGACUACUAUUGCACAAGUGGUUUUUGAAAGUUUAAGAGCUCAGUUUGAAGGUGAUAGCUUUCUUGAGAAUGUUAAACAUGAAACUGAAGAGCAGGGUAGUACAAUUCAUUUACAAGAGAAACUUCUCUUGAACUUGCUGAAUACUAAUGUCAAUGUACAAAACACUAAAAUGGGAAAAGACAUUAUUAAGCAUAGACCAUCUACUAAAAGGGUGCUUGUUGUUCUUGAUGAUGUGGAUCAAGAUAUACAAUUGGAAACAUUGUGUCACCGUACUUGGUUUGGUCCUGGGAGUAGAAUCAUAUUAACAUCCAGAGAUGAACACUUGAUCAGUGCAUUUGGAGCAGAUAAAAUAUACAUGGUGAAUGCAUUAACUGAUCCUGAAGCUUUUGAUCUCUUUCGUUUGAAAGCCUUCAAUGAAGAUGAGACUGGAGAAGAUUUUCUCAAGCUAUCCUAUGAAUUUUUGAAAUGUGCUAAUGGCCUUCCAUUAGCUAUUAAAGUUUUGGGAUCGUCUGUUCGUGGCAGAAGUUUAAACUUAUGGUCAAGUGCAUUGAAGAGACUUGAAAAAAAUCCUCCAAAAGGAAUUAUUGAUGUUCUUAAAGUCAGUUUUGAUGGAUUAGAAGAAACAAAAAAGAAAACCUUUUUAGACAUCGCGUGUUUCUUUAAAGGAUUGAACAAGGAUUGUGUAAUAAGAAUACUAAAUGGUUGUGACGAUGACGGUGUGGAGAUGGAUGUACAUGUUCUUAUUGAUAGAUCUUUGGUAACUCUAUUUGGAACAAAAUUGUGGAUGCAUGAUUUGAUACAAGAAAUGGGUCGGGAAGUUGUUCUUCAAGAAUGCCGUGAAGAGCCUGGAAAACGUAGCAGGUUGUGGCUUCCCAAAGAAAUCAUCCAUGUACUUGCUCGGGGUAAGGUAAUGAAAGAUCUGUGUGCUGAAACUCAUCUAUUGUUCUUUUACUAUGGUGUUUCUUGUGCAACAAGUAAUUCUUUGAUUUUUGUUGUGAGGUGACCAGUGCAGUUGAAAGCAUAUUCCUGGUAUGUCCAACAGGAGAUGAUGUUGUUCAUUCAAUUGAUACUGCCUUCUCAAAAAUGGACAGAUUGAGAUUGCUCAGGAUUAAUAAUGUGAAGUUUUCUGGAAUCAUCAAGUAUCUUUCUAAUGAGUUACAGUAUCUUGAAUGGCAUGAGUGUCCUUUGGAUUCUUUCCGGUCAGACUUUCAACCGGAGGAACUUGUUGAAGUUCACUUGCUGUUUAGCCACAUCAAACAACUAUGGAGGGGGAAAAAAGUAAGAUCAUAAUAAUUUUAUGCAUGUUCACAAAGCUGAUAUUUUAGAUUCUAAUCUCAUAUAUUAGGAAAGAUGAAGUGGCUUUCUUUGAAUUGCAUAACCAUAAAAGGUCCCUAGUCGCCCUCAGUUAGACACAUCCUUGAGAGUUAAUAUGGCAUUCUUGAUUUCAUAAAGAAUAUGUCAUUCUCAUACUAAGAUUGGACAUUAGUCAUGUUACUCUUACGUCAACCUUUAUGUAAUUUUACUAAUUUCUGUAAUUUGAAAUCACAAAGGAAUGUGUAAUGAAUAUUUCAAAUCACGUGAUGAUCAUCUUUGAAAUUAUAUCAGGGGUGGAGCAUGCUGCGGCAUUUAGAUCUGAGUGGUUCACCAUACUUGAUAUCGACUCCGGACUUCACUGAUGUUCCUGAUCUAUAAGUGUUGGCGCUUCAGCGUUGUACAAGUUUGGUGGAGGUUCACCCAUCUCUUGGAUUUCUGAAGAAACUUAGAUGUUUGUAUAUGGAAAGUUGCACGUCUAUUGAGAGCCUUCCACCUUUUACUACCUUGGAAUCCCUUCAAAUAUUGAGGCUUUCAGGCUGUUCAGGACUGAUGAAGUUUCCAGAAAUUGAAGGAAAUAUGAAAAGUUUACUGGAGCUUCAUGUGGCUGGGAUGCCUCAAUCAAUUGAACACUUCACUGGUCUUACCAUGUUGAAUCUAACAGACUGUAAAAAUCUUUUGCGUCUUCCGAAAAUAACAUUGAGUGCUUGACAUCUUUGAAAAUUCUCGGUCUAACUGGUUGCUCCAAAAUUGAUGAGAUACCAGAGAAUAUGAAUGGUAUGAAAAGUCUGGAGACGCUUUGCAUUGGGGGAACUUCCAUAAGGGAAUUAUCUAUCGUCGCAGGCAUAAAAAAUCUUCGGUAUCUAUCCUGCCAAGGAUGUAUAUGUCUAGUUUCAGAAUCAUGCAAAGAUCUGGCCUCGUUAUCGAAAUUGAUAGAGCUAGACUUGAGUUAUUGCAAUCUGAUGGAUGGAGAAUUUCUCAAUGAUUUUAGCAGCCUAAUUUCCUUAACAUCGUUACAUUUAAGUGGUAAUUGCUUUGUGCGGUUGCCUGAAAGUAUCUCUCACCUCUCAAAGCUGGAAACUCUGCACUUGAGUAAUUGCAGACAGCUUCAAUUGCUGCCUAAGAAGUUUCCGUUAAGUCUUCGUCACGUGUAUGCACAAGAAUGUUCUUCGCUGUCGGAUUACCCAAAUCAAAUCUAAGUAUUGAAUUCAUCGGGGUCAGGAGUGACUAUUAUCAAUUCCCUUGAUUCUGCAGCGCCUGAAGUCUCACAAAGUUUCAGAAGCUUAAUUUUUCCAAUAAAUGCAGGGGAAUCGAUACAACUGCGUGUGACACAUAAGCAUAGAGAGGGGAAACAAGUUGAUCAUGUGCCACUGACAACUCUGAAACAAGUAGUAUCUCUCUCGCACUCUCAACUAUAUUGGUUUAAGUGCACCUCUGGUACUUUGAAUCCUCUCUAUUUCAUACUUCUAAUUGACGAUGCUUUUGUGUUCUAAGUUGCAGGUGCCUUUGCUCUCAACUUCGGAUGUCAAGAGCAUGCUUGCUAGAGAUGAAAUUUCAGAGUGGUUCACCACUGUAUCUACCAGAAAUUCCAUAUCAAUUCCGAUGCCUCAAAAUCAAGCCGAUGAUAAUAAGUGGAAGGGAAUUGCCGCGUGUGCAAUAUUCGCAGUCAAGGGGCAUAUUGCUCUCUCCCUUAUUGAACCAGAUCCAAAUUUUCUUAAUUACUCGUAUCAAAUCACAUGGGAAACUGAUGACGUGCUUCUUGAACCAGAUGUGUUGGAACUGGAUUCAGCAGAAUUAGGCCGCUUUGGAUUAAGCUCUCAUCUGCUUGUGAUAUUUUCUAUAUCUAGAUCGGUGUUUCCACCGAGGGAGUUAAUUCAAUCAACUGUGGUGAGAGCUAAAUUUGAAACCACUAAUCCAUCCAUGGUGGUCCAGAAAUGUGGAAUGCGUCUAGUCUAUGACCAAGAUGUUGGAUGGUUUACCAGAGUGACUGAGCACGAUGUGAUUUGUCUGGAUCAAGUUGAGAUAAGCACACCACUAGGGGAGGCUCACUGGCUUUGUCAAUCUUUGGAAUGGUAGAAUAUAUUCUAUCUUGUUGCUUAAGUUGGUAAAAAAUGGAAGUAGAGUGUGAAUUGUAAAAGUGGAAGUGUGAAUUUUACUUCCCUCAAUUUUUCGGUCCACAGCUAGUUAAAUUACGCUUUGUGUUUCCCCGUUCGUAAUUUUAAUGUUUAUCCAACAAAUAUUGCAGGGAGAAAAUCAUUCCACCCUUGGAAGAAGAAACCACAGUACUUGUGCUGAGAAAGGACCUCGAGUCUGUUCUUCCAAGAUACCUUGAGUUCAAUCCCUCUGUACUUCUCUCUAGCUAGUUUACAUGAUAUCUCUGAAAUCUCUAAUCUCAAUCUUUGAAACGAAAGAGGUUACUAAUUAUUUUAAUUGCGCAUUUUCAAUAUUACAGGCAUUGAACUGUUAUCCUAAGAUGUUCAAAUUUAACCUCGGAGGAAGUCCAGGGUGGUUUCGUGAGGGGCUUUUCAUGUGGUCAAAUUCAGCCGUAAUGCCAAUGGAGCUGCCUGAAAAUCUACACAAGAGCAAGAAGUGGAUGGGACUGGCAAUAUUCGCAUCACUUGUAGAGGAAGUGGGGCAGACAAUGAAGGAGGACAACUUAGUACAGCCAUCGGGAUAUGAUGCAACUUGGUUCUAUUAUAGACCGUGCACUGCAGCUCGUAAAGAGGUUUGGAGGCAAUGCAAGUUGGCCAGGAUUACUGUGUGGUUGUCUACUCCACGCUUAGCAGUGCAGGGUUGUGCCCUUCGUCUACUAUUCAAGGAGGACGUUGAACAUCUUGUAGAAUCACUGACCCUCGCAGGAUAUUUUUGAACAUCUCCCAGCUGCCCAGUAUCUGCUGCUCAAUCAUGGAGAAGGUAACUUAAUUUUGAGUAGCCUUCCGGCUUAGAUUAAUCUUGUAAGUCACAAUAACUUCUCAUUUGGCUUGGCUGAAGUUCCGAUAUAUAUAUUUGUAUUGACAGAAGGCAAGGUCUGCAAGCAACAGUUCCUAAUGGAGAAUGAGAUAAAAGCGUUGUGUGAUAUUUUCUCAAGCUCAAUGAUAUCUAGUUUUGUCGUGCUCGUCUGUUUUCUCUGUUUUGGUCUUCCUGGUCUCUUGCCUCCAUUGCCGCUGCCCUCCUUUCCUCUUUUUGCUCCACCUUCCGACCUUUGCUUUUCCUCCACCCUCUUAAUCUUUUCUCUGUCCACAGUACCAAACAACCUUAUUUGCCUUGUCCGCAACUCAAUUUCAUCUUCAACCACUAUCACCCUUCCACAAAUUUCCAUACAGGAGUUACGUUUCGUUUUUGAUAAACUCUUCCACCCGUGGUUUGUUUGGCUAUGCACCUGCUGUGUUCUUUGGCGAUGCAAGUUCGCUGCAGUGCUGGUUUAUUUUGACGCCUUUGGUGUUGCUCUUGCAGCUAUGAUAGGCUCUUGUGCGUUGUACUGUUUGUUCUUGCUCAUGUUUGUGCCCUUGUGCCAUAUUUCUUUCUUUAAUGAAAACUUCUUUGUUUAUAAACUCAAAUUGCAAGUUUCUUCAAAUUGUUCAUAAUGAAAUGUCUCGGCGGAUCUCAGUACCUCAAUCACAUAGAUAAAGCAAUCCACUAUAAAUCCUUGUGUUAUUUGUGGUUUGUUUAUUGGUUGCUUUCUUUAGCUUUUUUUUUUUUUUUUUGUACCUAGGAAGCUUACAAUGAUAUAUUGUUUGUUACACUACCUCACAAGUCACAACAUGUGUUGAAGAUCAUCAAUUUCCUCCUGCCUAGCUUGUUCGAUUUCUAGCUGCAGAUCUGUGUUUUGAAGGCUCAAUAUCGUCACAGUCAUCGGCUACACAUGUAAAGCCAGAGUAGAGCUUUUGAUGGACAUUACAGCAAAGUAGCGCCAUCGAAAUCAUCACCCAAGUUGACAACUUAGGCAACGAAAGGAAAAUUGAACAUUUUGAGGUGUAUUCCAAGUCUUAUGAAGCCUAAUUGAGGUAGAGUAUUGUUUGAUAGGGAAAAUGGCCUCCAGGUGUCCAGGGGUAAGGCACAAGCAACUUAGUAUUGUCACAUUCAGGAGCAUAACCAGGUGAUGAGGUUGAACCUGUUGCUUGUUACUUUGUAUGAAACAAAAACACAUUCCCUGCCAUUUUUAUUAGGAAAACCAGAUUUCCAGAACGUAGUAGCAAACCAUCACAAUUACAUAGGAUCCGAUAAUAAACACAUAAAAUGUUUAAAUUACAGGCAUAUACCUGAAAAACAAUAACAUAGCAUCUAAUGCAAACGACGUGUCGCUCCUUAAGGAGAGGUUAUAGAUCGAGAUGACGUGUCGCUCCUUAAGGAGACGUUAUAGAUCGAGAUGACGAAGAACACGGAGAGGACGACCCAGAAUGACUUCAAAGUCUUCGAACCGUGUCCCGUCGCUGCAACUACUUUUCUCGUUCAUGAAUUGGUUGACGCGUUGAAGGUGCCAAAAUUCACAGACACGCAAACGUUUAAAAGUCUGGGCAGACUGCUCCUGCGAAUCACAGUUGCCCAAAUUGAGGUCUUGCAUGCUCAGAUUUCUCACACAGUUCGAACAAGUGAUGGCCUCCUACCCAGUCCGCCUUGUCCUCUUGUCUUGUAUUUGCCCUCUGGUUUUCUUCUCUGCUUUGUUUCUCUUCAGCUUUAUCUCUUCCGGGUUGUACCUCUUCUUCUUCUUCUCCAUUGUUUCUAUUUGCUGCUGCCUUUUGGCUUUCACUCUUUCCCAUAAACAGACACCCGCAACACCAGACACUUCUGCUUCAGCUACCACCAACACAGAAGUGAUUCCUUCUUCUUCGUCGUCGUCUUCUUCUCCACGGUCCGGUAAACUCACCUACGAUGUGUUCCUGAGUUUCAGAGGUGAAGAUACCCGCAAGAAUUUCACGGACCAUCUCUACACUGCUCUCUGGCAGAAAGGGAUACACACGUUUCGAGAUGAUGAAGAGCUUGUGAGGGGGGAAUCGAUUGCUCCCAAUCUNNNNNNNNNNNNNNNNNNNNAUGUGGAUCAAUAUAAACAAUUGGAAACAUUGUGUCACCGUACUUGGUUUGGUCCGGGUAGUAGAAUCAUCAUAACAUCCAGAGAUGAACACUUGAUCAGUGCAUUUGGAGCAGAUAAAGUAUACAUGGUGAAUGCAUUAACUGAUACUGAAGCUUUUGAUCUCUUUUGUUUGAAAGCCUUCAAUGAAGACGAGAUUGGAGAAGAUUUUCUUAAGCUAUCCAAUGAAUUUUUGAAAUAUGCUAAUGGCCUUCCAUUAGCUAUUAAAGUUUUGGGAUCAUCUGUUCGUGGUAGAAAUGUAAAGUUAAUGUCAAGUGCAUUGAAGAGGCUUGAAAAAAAUCCUCCAAAAGGAAUUAUUGAUGUUCUUAAAGUUAGUUAUGAUGGAUUAGAAGAAACAGAAAAGAAAACUUUUUUAGACAUCACGUGUUUCUUUAAAGGAGUGAACAAGGAUCGUGUAAUAAGAAUACUAGAUGGUUGUGAUGAUGCCGGCGUGGAGAUGGAUGUACAAGUUCUUAUUGACAGAUCUUUGGUAACUCUAUUCGGAACAAAAUUGUGG
rnacentral:lncRNA from 1 species